UUUUUUUCUUAUGCCUUGAUUAUGAUUGCUUAUGGUUGCUCUUUUUUAUAUUAUUACCCCUCUUGGAGUUAUGUUUUUUGUUGCUGUAAGCACUCCUGGGAAAAUGUUGCUUUUGUUGUGGGGGAAGGAAGAAUGGAAGGGCAGGGUAUGAAUAUUUGGUAAUACAAUAGGUUUUCAUCCUACUCAGAACAGUCCUGUUGCAGUUAAUAAACAUAGCUGACUUACAUUCCUCAAUUUCAACAGGUCUACUCUGAUUAGAACUUUAUUGUUUUUAUUUGUUAAAUUUAUUGGUCACUUUUUUACCUCUGCAACUCAAAGCAAUAAAGUAUUUUAAGCAAAAAACUAACACAUGGACAUAAACACACACACGUAAUGUAUAUGUACAUCUGUGUGUAAUGUAUGUAUAUGUACAUACAUUAAAACCAGCACUGAAAACAACAACAAAUAUUAAAACAUCCCACCCAUGCGUAAAGGACCUAGGUAGGUAAAAGCCAAAGACCUGCCUAAAGAUAUGUAACAAUUGCAUCAGGCAAGCCUACAUUAAUGUAGACAAAUAACAAAUUACAAAAAGGAUCAAUAAACCUUUAUCAUAAUCACAUGUCAGAUUUUCUUUUGUGAAUGAAAUGAAAUGGUUUCAACCAGUUUAUAAUAGCCAAAAAUCAAAUAUAGGGUUUGUGGUGUAUUUAAACAAGGCUUAGAUCAACUCCACAGAUGUUCAGUGUCCAGGGGUUCAGUGCCUGGCACCCAGAAACUUAUGACACAGGGGAGUCUGGUACCCACAAACUCAUAACAUUCCAUUUCCUUGCAGCCUAAGGAAAGCUGUUUAUUGGCAGAACACAGUGGGAAGAAACUGAAAGAAACAGGGGGAUGAAGAGGUCUAAGGGUGAAGCCUUGCUCCUGUCCAUCAUAAUACUGGACAGAUUGCUCCAGGGUGUUGAGAGGGGUUAUUUUUAACUAUUAAGUGAGAAACAGCAGCCAUAGUCUAGGCCAGAAGUGUUUUCCCUUGGUGACCCCGCCAUGUUGAAAAGUGUGUGUGUUUGCAAGGUGUAUCCUGUCCUGUCCAGAAAUGCACCGUGCUGGAUGAAGCCAGCUCUAGAUCUUUUCUAAAUAAAUUGAAUAAAACCACUUAACCCACUGAAAGAUAUAUUUGAAAAAUGAAUAUUAAGGGGAGCCAUGCCUCUUGUAAAGCAAGGUAGCUACUGGUGUCAUGUCCUCCAUUGUGACACAUCCCCCUGCUCAGUGACUUGGCUGAGGACUUUGGGAAGAACUAUUUGUGGAUAGUUCAGGUGAUAGAAGGUGAUUUUUGACAACCCAAGUAUUUUUUCCAGUGCUAUGAAGAAAGAUUAUUCAUCUAAAGUGUAAGUAGAAUUCCUAAUUCUUUCUGCAUUCUGCUUCUUUGGCUGUUCCUCAAAAUUUAGAAACAUAGGGAACCAGGUCAUGGUUAGAUUAAGUUUUAAAGAUUGUCCUCAGGGCCACCUUAGAUGCUUUGAGGGAAAUGGCUUGCCGUCUCUCUUGUGGGCAUCAUCACAAGAAGGGCAUCUCCCAGUUUUGUAGGGUCCUUUGACAAGAUGCCCUCCUCCGUGGGUUCAACUGCAAGGGGGAGCCACCAAUGAAAAGGCCCUUUCUCAUGUUGGAUAUAACCUGUGGGAACUUGCUGGUAGGGAUGUGGGACAAAUAUGAUUCACUUGGCAUUUAAAGGCAAGCCUAGCUAAUUCAUACCUUCCAAAACAAUACACAAAUCAAAACACAGCCACCCCUCAAAAUUCGUGUUUCUCUAAAUCUUGGAAUGCAGUUCUCUAGCCAUGCAGUGUGUACAAAAUGUCUACAUUAGUGAAACUAAUGUUUAAAAAUGCAUUUUACAGAGGGAAACCUCCUUGCAAAUAUCUGAUUAGGCAAAAUUGCUUACAGUUAUUAUCAGGAGAAGUUUGCACUAAAAUGCUGCUGGAUUUUCACGUUUUUGUUUUAAUUUAAAGAAUUCAAAUUGGUGUGGCAGUGUGGGGAAUCCAAACUUAAGAAUGGAAAAAUAAUAAACAGAGAAACCAAACCUGACAGGUUUGCCCAUCCCUACUUAGAAGCUGUUGAGUCCAACAACCUGCUCAAAGCAGUAUCUGCGCUGCUGGGUGCAACUGCAACGCCCCGACAGAUGUGAGCGUGUGUGUGGUGUGGUUUACAAAUACAAUUUUCGUAUGCUUUCUGUGAUUCGGCUUUCUCCUGUGUGGUGCCUGGCAGCGAAUUUAGAGCUGCAAAGAGAGAGAGAGAGAGGCAAGGAGUGCUGGAGAAUGUGAGAGGCAUACCGAUUUGGGCUGUUCCCCCUCUCCCCUCCCUGCUCGAGGCCUCCAGCCGUUUCCCCCAUGCAUUCAAAAUUUGACAAUGCAUUUAACAAACUCCUGAGAUGGCAGUAGUCUAGCCUGCCAGUCAUACACAAUGGGGGCUGCCCCAGCAGCCUUUGCUUGAACUAACAUGUUUGUUCAAAGCUAAGGAGGUGAAGAGAGAAAAGCACCAGGGGGGUGGCAGGCCAUUCAUCACUUACAGCUGCUCAUCUGGGAUGUUUGCAGGGGGAACUUGGUGCUCAGUCAUCAGCUUGAUAGUUCCAUGGCUGCAGCAGCAGCAUUUGUAUUGCUAACAGCAAAGGUUUCCUCACUUGCUGUCCCUAAUAAGAGAGAAAAGCUGGGCUAAAAUAGCCUCCAGAAAUUCUCCACCUUAUCUGUCGGUAUAGAAACUGGUGAGUGGGGGUAGGGGAGAUAUUUUUAUUUUUAUUUUAUUUUAUUUUAUUUUAUUUUAUUUUUUUAAUUAGUAUAUUUUAAAAAACAAUUAAUAGGAAGAGGUGGAGAAAGGAGCAAAGGAAGGAAAGAGGGAUUGCAAAUGCCCUUUGUCUCACAGAAAUAUUUUUACACUCAUAGCCUGUGGGGGCCACAUUCCCUUCUGGGCAACAUUCCAGGGGCCACAAGCUGGUGGUAGGCAGAUCUCCCUUUGUUUCAGCGUUGCCCUUCUUGAACUCAUUGGGGAAGAGGAUGGAGACCAAACUAAAAUUAAUUGGCUCUGCCUGCCACUGGCUCUGCCAACACCACGCCAUACCUUUAAAGUACAAUUAACACACUAUUAAAGCACAUAGCUUCCUCCAAAGAAUCAUGGGAACUGUAGUAUACUGCCUCACGGAGCUCCAGUUCUCACCAUCCUCAACAAACUACAGUAGCCAAGAUUCUUUGAGAAAAGCAAUGUGGUUUAAAUGCCUUUUACAUGCAUGCUGUAAUUGUGACCUUGUUCUCUUUCCCUUCAGCCCUACCAGUCUCAAUGGGAACCAGCCAGUCCUAAACCUAGGCCUCAUUCUGGGGCAUUGGGCAUGUGGAAAAUGGUGGUUACAACCACUGAUAAAGAAAGCUGAAGAUAGUCUAUGAAAAUGCUCUUUAUUAUAACAUAAACAGUACUCCACACUGCAACAUUUUGUUGCAGAUCCCACUUGUUUUAUAUAUACAGCAGAACGUCAUCAGGCUUGCCGAUGGGGUUUUUCUUACAUGUUUUUAAAGCGGGUUUUCCACCUGGUUGGUUUUCACCCAGAAGCACCCUUUAAAAACAGCAAGCAAGCCGGUGGAGGCAAAUCUCAGACUAGCUUUCUCCCUCCCAGUUCAGACACUGCCUGAUUUGAGAAACAUGCAGCUGCUGCUGGCACCCUCUCUGCCCUUUUCGCUUCUCCUUGACUGCUCCUCCUGCAGUUAAGCAUCCCAUAUAGAACUGUAAAUGCAGCCCGGCAGGAAAGAAACUCCUGGCUAAGCUAGUGAAGUUCAGCUUAAAUGUAAAGGCAAGCGGAAUGGAGGAAAGAGGAAGUGGGAAAUAGUGUUGUUCUAACUUCCUCCUAAAGCUCUAUGUACUUUUCAGUAGAGGAAAAGACAACUUAUGUAAGCCCCUCCUGACCAAGGGGGCAGAGACAAGACCUCGGGGACUUUGUGUAUUCCAGGGGAAGACCUCAAGGGCCCCAUUGCUCCCAUAGGCACUCUGUUGGUGACCCCCUGCUUUAAAGACUAGCAAAUUGCAUCUGAUGAAGUUGGGCGAGUAGCCCACAAAAGGUUAUGCCAUAGCAAAUUUGUUAGUCCUGUGAGUUUCAUUCAAGAAAAUGUAUGGUCCUAUUUGGUUGCAGUGGUGUCCAAACUUUUUUCAAAGAGGGACAGAUUUGAUGAAGUGAAGGGCCGCGAGGGCCGACUAAAGAGCCAACCAAAGUUUUUUUAAGAUUUAAGUUGUUGAGCUAUUUUUAGGAUUUUACCCCAAAGUUGUUGAGCUUCUUUUUAGGAUUGAAGUCGUUGAGGGAUUUUUUUUAAAGGAUUUUACCCAGGAAAUAAACUGCCACGGGGGCUGGAUUAAACCAACUGGCGGGCUGGAUUAGCCCCCAAAAUGGACAUUGGACAUGCGAGUUCAGAGCUUUCAAAAUGGCACCCAGCAAUGUGCCUGUUUCAGGGGGGUUGAGGAGGGUGGUGUUCUCCAUUGUUAAGUUCUUAGCUCAGCCUGAAAGCCUCUGCCACAUGCUCUGAAGUCACAGAUGGCUCUCUCCUGUUCGUUCCUAGUAAUCUGCAAGGCACAGAGAAUUCGCAGCUGCCUAAGAAACCACUGGGGAGCCCCAGCACAAAGUGUUGAAAUGGGCAAUACAGUAUUUAGUCAUUAGGGCCGCUCAUCUAAAGAACUAAAAUAAGGCUCAUUUCAAUCAAUAGCAAUCUGUUUGCACUGUCAGGAACUAAUUUAAAAAUCUGCUUUAAGUCCCGGUUAGGCAUUUUGAUGCUGAAAGCAGAAUACAAAGUGCAGGGGAACUGUUGGGCAUGGUGCGGCGGUGGCAGCAGGGAGGGAGUUAGAAAACAACCGAGUAAGGGGGAAACCCUGUCAUUUUAACAGAGCUUAUCCUGGUGUGUUAAAGCUUCUUACUGCCAGCCCUGAGCACACAGCUCUGCGGCACGUCUAUGUGAAAAAAAGAAGCAAGCGAUGCUCAGCUUGCUAAAUACAUGGUUCUUCCUCGUUUAAGCAUUUGUUUGAAGGGGUGGGACCGCAACAUUGAGAGGAAUAGCAGCAGGUACAGGUUGCCUAGGGAGAAAGGGGCUGCUUGCAUUGGCGUCCAUUAUGGGGGUGGCUUUCUUUCUUUCUUUUUUAAAAAGAAUAUUUUCUAGAACUUGAGCUAGGAGGCAAAAUGUACAGGCUCUAUUCUUUUCAAUUUUUUUCUGAGAAACUAUCCUGCUGCCUCCCCCCCCCCCCCUUUCAUUGUUUUAAUUUGUCGUCAUCCCCUCUUUCUAUCUCUGUGAAAACCCAUAGCUGUUUGCUUCUGGAGAUGGCAUUUCAGGGGCUAAGGGUUCUCCCUGCUACACAUCUGGGCCUACCACAUCCAUUUUCCCCAUGCUAGAGAGUAGCAUGGUUGCUAAGCAACCCUUUCUGGGCCUAGCGCCUCCUGUCAGGUUAGAAGAGGGAGUUGGGAAAUUUGAAAGGUAGGGCCCCAUCUGUCAGGCAUCCUUUCCCUUACCUGAGUUCUAGUUCUAGACAGGCCUGAAUAAUUGCUAGCUUUAAAAUAAAAUAAAAAAUCAGAAGGGAGAGCAGCUGUGUUGACUUUACCCCAAUAGCCUUCGGUGCAACAUCAGAUCUCUUUUCUACCUGCCACUGUAUAAUCCAGUGAACAGCACAAUCUUACAUAUGUCUACUGAGAAGUCCAUUUGUGUCCUGUGCUCCCUUAUAAUGGAGAACCCACAGCCAUAGCCCAGACCAGCCCAAGACAUUUUUCUGCCUGAGGUGAAACAGAAAAUGUCCACACAGAUUACCCCAUGAUGCAACCUGAUAAGGACAUUGAUAGCUACCACCUCCUCUAAUCUGAGGCGCACCCUCUUCAUCCUUUUUAAAUGUAUUUGUUCAUUGUUGUCGAACACAUGCUGAGCAGCGAAUUGGACUUGAUUAUUUCAAAAGUCUGUUCCAACCCUAAAAUGCUUUGAUUCCAAUUGGAACGAAAGCCCCAGUACUUUGCAAAUUAACUGCAGUUUGAGGACCUUGCAAAUGAGAAUUUUUACUUGGGUGAAAAAGGACCUAUGAUUCAGAGGAGCUUACCCCCAGGAAAGUGUGCAUAGGAUUUGGUUGUUUGUUCCUGGGGGUUUAAAAGAAAACCUCGACCCGCCCAGUGCCCAAACCCAGACACAUGACUUUAUCCAGAGCAUCCUGGGAACUGUAGUUAAGGGUGUUGAGAAUUGUAGCUACCUUUCCCAAAAUUAUUUGGGUAAAGUCAUGUGCUUUAAAUGUAUGGUGUGUACACAGCCUGGGACUUCCAAGGCUGCCCAGUGAACUUUGUAGCCAUGUGCACACACUAUAUACCUUCAGUGCACACUUUUGAAGCACAUUGACACUCAAAAAAAGUAUGUGCACAUUAUUUUUUCCCUCAGAGAGUUAAAAUUCCCAGCAAACCUUAACAAACUACAAUGCCCAUAAUUCUUUGUGGGUGGUAAAUAUGCUUCAGACAUGCUUUAAAGGUAUAGGGUGUGUACAGCCAUAGUCCAGUAGUGUUUAUGCCAAGGUCUUGGGCAGAGAUAGGUCUUUCUCAUCACCUGUUACCUGACACUUUUACAUGGAGUGGUCAGAGAUUGAAACUGGGAUGUUAUUCAUGCAAACCACAUGCUGUGCUACUGAGAUAUGGCUCUUCCAGAUUCAAUUCAAAAUUGUGAGCCAUCAAUUUUGUGAAUAGGAGGAGAGAAGAGUUGUUGAACCUCUGUUACACUGCAC